CCCAGACUCCUACGGGAGGCAGCAGUGGGGAAUAUUGCACAAUGGGGGAAACCCUGAUGCAGCAACGCCGCGUGAGUGAAGAAGUAUUUCGGUAUGUAAAGCUCUAUCAGCAGGGAAGAAGAUGACGGUACCUGAGUAAGAAGCCCCGGCUAACUACGUGCCAGCAGCCGCGGUAAUACGUAGGGGGCAAGCGUUAUCCGGAUUUACUGGGUGUAAAGGGAGCGUAGACGGUGAGACAAGUCUGAAGUGAAAGCCCGGGGCUCAACCCCGGGACUGCUUUGGAAACUGCCUGACUGGAGUGCUGGAGAGGCAAGCGGAAUUCCUAGUGUAGCGGUGAAAUGCGUAGAUAUUAGGAAGAACACCAGUGGCGAAGGCGGCUUACUGGACUGUAACUGACACUGAGGCUCGAAAGCGUGGGGAGCAAACAGGAUUAGAUACCCCUGUA
rnacentral:rRNA from 1 species